GGGGAUGUGGCUCAGUGGUAGAGUGCUCGCCUCACAUGUGAGAAGCACUGGGUCAGUCCUCAGCACCA
rfam:Ictidomys tridecemlineatus contig006989, whole genome shotgun sequence.